GGAGGGAGGGGAAUGGCAGGAACUCCAAACAAGCCAGGGAUCAUGGAGAAGAGACAGCAGAAGCCAAAGGGGCUGCUGCAGCGCAGUGCUGGGGACAGCAGCAAGAAACAAGAGUGUCCGUGGGGCCCCGGAGAAGGACGUCCGUGAAACUGGGCUAAACCCCAAGUGUGAAAUUUGGCAGGGGUUCUGGGUACUGAAUGUUCUCCAUUGUUGGCCACAGUCAAAAGAAGCCUCGCCGGAAAUCUACAGCAUGGCACAGCUCGUCCCUGAACGACACUGUCACUCGCUCUUGGGAAGUCCUGUCCUCAUUCAGAUUGCUUUAUUUCUGAGACCAAUCACCUGAUCACACAUCUGCUGCUAGCAUUCGAGCCCUAACACAAGAGUGUGCGUGAAUAUAGGUGAUUGUGUUUCAAAAAGGAGGGAGAAGGAGGCCUGAAUGCCUCUCAGAGUGCAUUGUGUCUGGGGCUAGUAGGGUUGCCCCUUGUUCUGUGAUGUCACAAUGCCCAAACACACGCACCAAGAAGUCAUCAAAGACAGCCCAACUCACAGCCCAUGAGGGACCCUGAGUACUGCCUCUGACCUCUCUAUGGCAAGCCAAAUGGCCAUGGGAAGACCCCAUGGAGUGUCAGAAUGAUGCCGUUGAGGGCAAGGAUUUUAGACCGGUCAUGGAUUCUGCCUGUGCACUGGGCUCUACCACUUUCUAGCUAUCUGGCUACUAGCAAGUUACCUUAACAAUCUAAGUUUCAACCUCCCCAUUCGUGAAAUGGAGAUGAUGUCUUAGUCAUAGAAGUAGCAAGUCUACUGCAUAUCAACAGUGUAGCACUGAGCCUGGCUCUUUAUAAGGAAACAGGCCGAGAGACGCAAGUCAAACAGCAAAGGAUGGUCUGCUGUCUGUCUGACUCCAAUGCCAAUGGUCUUUCCUCUAUAACCUAAAGCAAUAAAACCCCUGCAACAUCUAUCUUAUUAUUACAUAAA
rnacentral:lncRNA from 1 species